CUCUGUGACGUCAGCGAUCAGGAACGGAUGCCUGCCCGCGCUCCCAUAAGGCUCCCGUAAGGUACCCCAGGCCGCAUGCGCAGAACGAAGAGCGGGGCCCGUCGCUGAGGCAGAAUGAGCAGUGAAGAGGCACCAUCGGGGGACCCCCAGGAAGAGGCAGCUGCGGAAGUUGCAGCUGCGGAGGUUGCCGCUGCGGAGGUUCCAGCUGUGGAGAUUCCAGCUGUGGAGGUUCCAGCUGUGGAGGUUACAAAGGUGCCCAUCGAGGAACAUGUCAUUCACAUCCCAGCACCACUGCCACCACCUUCCCCCAGUGGAGAGCGAGAAAGGGGGCCCGGCCAUCGCACAGGCUGGCUCCUAGACCUGCUAGAUGACGUCCGCUAUCUUAUCUCCUGCACCAACUGGUACUAGCAGCUCUCUGUGCCCCCCAAGCCUUCUGCCAACACGAGCUGGCGUAACGGACAGGCCUUGGCCCAUCACACACACACCCUCUCAACAGGGCAGCAGCACCCACCUUGAGGAAAAGCGCCUGCAAGAUCUGUGAUUAAAGGUCUGGGGUUAGGGAAAGAAA